GUAGCUCAGCCGUGAUGUCUUCUGCCCCUGCUGCAGAGCGUAUAAGAAAGAAAUUAAGACCUGGUUGGAAAAAAAUGACACAAAUGAGAUAGAAGUCCCUCACCGGGCCUGGAAAAUUCUACGGAAUAAGUAGAACUAUUCAGGAUGCUAACAGAACAGGUGGUUGGACGUGCAGUGUGUGGUCUGGCGGGCAAAUAUCGUCCCUGGUCUACACAGAAGGGAGAGGAAUGACACGGGCAGAGGCCUGAGGUUGGCGACUGGACGGGCCCGCAGGGAGAGAGUUGGCCAGGGGGCGGAGCCAGAUUCACCCCCGCAGUUCACACGUGAAGACCCUACAGCAGAGGCGCAAGGGACCCGUUCGGUGACCUCGACCAGUCCGAUGACUGAAGAGCGGUGGCUGGAGCCCAGCCAAGUCUCAACAGCAUGGCCAUGCCUGGAGCCUCUGUACCGCAGCCGGACGGAUUUUUUCAAAAAAGCUAGUCAGAUGGUGUCAGUUCGUUGCUUGAACCCUCCUGUGGUUUCCCAUCACAUCAAGAAUACGAGGCGAGCCCCCUGUCGGGGUCUCCCUGGCCUUGGGCUCUGCUUGUAUUGGAGCUCGUCUGGCUUGCUCUCUGCCUUGCAGCUGCACUGGUAGCCGCCGCUCCGUCCUCCCACCGCCGGGCCUUUGCACUUGCUGACCCCACAGCCCGAGACUUUCCCCCAGUCUUCCCAGGAUCGGUCCUUUCUCGUCAUUCAGAACCGGCCUACACUGUCUACUCAGAGAGGCCUCUCUAUUGAGUGUCACAGCACUCGGAGCCCUCCUCCACAACCAGGCAAGGCUG